GGAUGUGAGGGCGAUCUGGCUGUGACAUCUGUCACCACAUUGAUCGCCAGGGUUGAUUCGGCUGAUCUGGCUGGCUAGGCGGGUGUCCCCUUCACCGCUCUAUGUGCGUCCCUUUUGAAGCUGCAAGCUCUGUCGAAGAGGACGGCCUUCCCCAAAUAGAGAUGGGCCUGUCUUCAGUCGAGGGUAUACGAGUAGCUGCGCUCCCCUGCUAGAACCUCCAAACAAGCUCUCAAGUUCAGUUCCAUAUCACAAGAAAAACAAUGAGUUUUUUUAUAUAACAAUUAUCCUUAUAACAAUUAUUAAUGGAGCUAAAG
rnacentral:snRNA from 1 species